rnacentral:rRNA from 1 species
AUUGAACGCUGGCGGCAGGCUUAACACAUGCAAGUCGAGCGGGGUGAUGGUGCUUGCACUAUCACUUAGCGGCGGACGGGUGAGUAAUGCUUAGGAAUCUGCCUAUUAGUGGGGGACAACAUCUCGAAAGGGAUGCUAAUACCGCAUACGUCCUACGGGAGAAAGCAGGGGAUCACUUGUGACCUUGCGCUAAUAGAUGAGCCUAAGUCGGAUUAGCUAGUUGGUGGGGUAAAGGCCUACCAAGGCGACGAUCUGUAGCGGGUCUGAGAGGAUGAUCCGCCACACUGGGACUGAGACACGGCCCAGACUCCUACGGGAGGCAGCAGUGGGGAAUAUUGGACAAUGGGGGGAACCCUGAUCCAGCCAUGCCGCGUGUGUGAAGAAGGCCUUAUGGAUGUAAAGCACUUUAAGCGAGGAGGAGGCUCUUUUGGUUAAUACCCAAGAUGAGUGGACGUUACUCGCAGAAUAAGCACCGGCUAACUCUGCGCCAGCCGCCGCGGUAAAAC